GAUGAAGAACGCAGCGAAAUGCGAAAAGUAAUGUGAAUUGCAGAAUUCAGUGAAUCAUCGAAUCUUUGAACGCACAUUGCGCCCGCCAGUAUUCUGGCGGGCAUGCCUGUCUGAGCGUCAUUUCAACCCUCACGCCCCUAGGGCGUGGUGUUGGGGAUCGGCCAAGGCCCGCAAGGGACGGCCGGCCCCUAAAUCUAGUGGCGGACCCAUCGUGGCCUCCCCUGCGAAGUAGUAAUAUAUUCCGCAUCGGAUAGCGAUGAGCCCCUGCCGUUAAACCCCCAACUCUUUCAAGGUUGACCUCAGAUCAGGUAGGAAUACCCGCUGAACUUAAGCAUAUCAAAAGCGGAGA
rnacentral:misc_RNA from 1 species